rnacentral:rRNA from 1 species
AAAUUGAAGAGUUUGAUCAUGGCUCAGAUUGAACGCUGGCGGCAGGCCUAACACAUGCAAGUCGAACGGUAACAGGAAGCAGCUUGCUGCUUCGCUGACGAGUGGCGGACGGGUGAGUAAUGUCUGGGAAACUGCCUGAUGGAGGGGGAUAACUACUGGAAACGGUGGCUAAUACCGCAUAACGUCGCAAGACCAAAGAGGGGGACCUUCGGGCCUCUUGCCAUCAGAUGUGCCCAGAUGGGAUUAGCUGGUUGGUGAGG